rnacentral:tRNA from 2 species
GGCCCCGUAGCUCAACUGGAUAGAGCGCCGGACUUCUAAUCCGACGGUUGCAGGUUCAAGUCCUGCCGGGGUCGCCA